rnacentral:rRNA from 1 species
UACGAGGGAGCGCUAGCGUUGCUCGGAAUCACUGGGCGUAAAGGGUGCGUAGGCGGGUUCUAAGUCAGAGGUGAAAGCCUGGAGCUCAACUCCAGAACUGCCUUUGAUGCUGGAAGUCUUGAGUAUGGCAGAGGUGAGUGGAACUGCGAGUGUAGAGGUGAAAUUCGUAGAUAUUCGCAAGAACACCAGUGGCGAAGGCGGCUCACUGGGCCAUUACUGACGCUGAGGCACGAAAGCGUGGGGAGCAAACAGG